UACAGAGACCUCGAGCGUUAUCCGGAUUUAUUGGGCGUAAAGCGUCUGUAGGCGGUUUGGUUAGUCAGGUGUCAAAUCUCGGUGCUCAACAUCGAGGCUGCGCUUGAAACUGCCAGACUAGAGGCCGGGAGAGGUAGAUAGAAUUGCCGGUGUAGGGGUAAAAUCCGUUAAUAUCGGCAAGAAUACCAAAUGCGAAGGCGUUCUACUAGAACGGACCUGACGCUGAGAGACGAAAGCGUGGGGAGCGAAUGGG
rnacentral:rRNA from 1 species